UCUUGUGCUGCAGACCAACGACCUGACCUCGGUGCACCUGGGGGUGAAGUUCAGCUGCCGCUUCACCUUGAGGGAGAUCCAGGAGCGCUGGUACUCGCUGCUCUACGACCCUGUCAUCUGCAAGCUGUCGUGCCAGGCCAUGCGGCAGCUGCACCCCGAGGCCGUGGCCGCCAUCCAGAGCAAGGUUCUGUUCAGCAAGGCCGAGGAGCAGCUGCUGACCCGCGUG